GACGAACGCUGGCGGCGUGCCUAACACAUGCAAGUCAAGCUGUAGCAAUACAACUGGCGCACGGGUGAGUAACGCGUAGAUUAUCUGCCCCUAUCCCUGGCAUAACAUUGAGAAAUCGGUGAUAAUACCAGAUGAGGCACGAAAGUGUCAAAGCUUCGGCGGAUGGGGAUGAGUCUGCGUCUGAUUAGCUAGUUGGUGGAGUAAAAGCCCACCAAGGCGACGAUCAGUAGCUGGUCUGAGAGGACGAUCAGCCACACUGGAACUGAGACACGGUCCAGACUCCUACGGGAGGCAGCAGUGAGGAAUAUUGGUCAAUGGGGGAAACCCUGAACCAGCGACGCCGCGUGAAGGAUGAAGGGGCUUUGCCUCGUAAACUUCUGUCGGGAGGGAAGAAAAGCCGGGUUGCCCGGCUGGGACUGUACCUCUAAAGGAAGGGUCGGCUAACUACGUGCCAGCAGCCGCGGUAAUACGUAGGACCCAAGCGUUGUCCGGAUUUACUGGGUGUAAAGGGUGCGCAGGCGGAUUUGUGCGUCAGAGGUUAAAGACCCCGGCUUAACCGGGGAAGUGCCUUUGAUACGGC
rnacentral:rRNA from 1 species